AAGGCUAAUGCAAGAAUCAAUACUAAAGACUACAUUUACUCAACUCUCUCAGUUACUUGCAAUAUAUAAAUCGAAUUUAUACACUUUUACACAUACAUUUACAAGCACCGGUUGGUAAUUAUUGUACAACCGGAUUUCGAAUAACCCGCCGGAUUCCGAACGUCACCGUCCCGCGUCUUUGGGCUACUCCCACGCCCCCUUUGAACCGCUCGUUUAGACCGUCCACGUGUCUUAGCGUGUUGGACUUUCGCCCACGCAAGCGCGGGUGGGACCGGCA
rnacentral:lncRNA from 1 species